rnacentral:lncRNA from 1 species
CCAUGCGACGUUCCCCAACAGCCAUCAACGAGUGGAGAACAAGGAGGCGUCGACUGAUGGUCUGAUUCAUAAUUAAGCAUAUCUAUUCCAUGAGGGUCUCUGGUUUGUUAAUGAUUGCAUGAUUAGGCAUGGAUAAGAUGAGCUUUUAGUUCAGGACCCCGCGGGCAAUGGGAAUCCAAAGAAUGAUGACACACAUAUAACAAGCUUCGUCCAAUUGACAUAUACAAUGUGAAAUAAACAAUCGAACCACCAGUACCUAGGACAAAAUUAUAGCACGCCAUUGAGUUUCGUGUCAUACCAAAAUCGGACAAGAGGUGUCGUACAUGUAGUAGUUUUAUCUGCAAUAACAAGUGGUUCCUAAAACCGGAGUGAGAUAUACUGUGUUAAAAGAUGAUCUCUUAAAUAAGAGAAGAUAAAUAUUUUUUUAUAAAUUCUUUCUCAUUCAUCUCAGUAUUAAUCCUACAUGUCACACCAUUGUAUAUGCCCUAACAUAGAGAAAAA